GUGGCAACGCACGGGCAGCUAACUAGUAUACAGUAAUUUCAGAACCACCAAGAAAAAUGGAGGGAUCAACUCAUGAAGCAAGAUUCUCAAGUAACAUUGGUGAUGCCCAUCUAGCGUCUACCAUGUGCAGAACUAUGGGACCUAAUGAAGAUCGGGCAGCUAGAUAGACACACGUAUAUAUUGAAUAGCAAUAAAAGAUUGCCUUGCGAGUUUGUAGAUGUUGAUAAAUCAGCAAUAACGGAUGGUGACAGAGUGAUCCAUAAUUUUGUGCAACAUCCACUUAUAUUGCUAAAUGACACAACAUACCCAACAGCAGUUCUU
rnacentral:lncRNA from 1 species